GGUAAGAUAUAUGAAGCACUAUUUUACAUUAUAAAAAUAUAUGUAUUGAAUUUGGAAGAGUAAAAAACAGUCACAUCCUUACAUAACCUAUUCACACAGUAACCUGAGAUGUCUAAAUACCCUCUCACAUUUUCCUCUUUGGUUGUUAAAGCCAAGAAGUAAAGACCACCAGGAACACUAUGUUUAAAUAAAAUUAGGUUUUAUUUUUGCUGUAGAGAGGAGAAUAUACCCCAGGGGGAAUGAGGAUGUCUCAAGAGAGUUGGAGUAGGGAGACUUCUAAGAUUUAGGAUUGCAGUAGAGGGUUUAAGGAGGAAUUAAAUGAAAGAGAGACAGUUGUGUGUUAAAUGUUGUCAAGAAAUGAGGGCAGCUCAGUGAUUGGACUUCUUUUUCCCUCUGUGGUAUAUU